rnacentral:rRNA from 1 species
GAUGAACGCUAGCUACAGGCUUAACACAUGCAAGUCGAGGGGCAGCACUAGGUAGCAAUACUGAGGUGGCGACCGGCGCACGGGUGCGUAACGCGUAUCCAACCUUCCCGAUACUCUUGGAUAGCCUUCCGAAAGGGAGAUUAAUACAAGAUGGUGUUUCAAUUCCGCAUGUUAUUGAAACUAAAGAUUUAUCGGUAUCGGAUGGGGAUGCGUGACAUUAGAUAGUAGGCGGGGUAACGGCCCACCUAGUCUACGAUGUCUAGGGGUUCUGAGAGGAAGGUCCCCCACACUGGAACUGAGACACGGUCCAGACUCCUACGGGAGGCAGCAGUGAGGAAUAUUGGUCAAAUGGUCGGAAGACUGAACCAGCCAAGUAGCGUGAAGGAUGAAGGUUUUCGGAUUGUAAACCUCUUUUGUCGGGGAGCAAAAAAGACUACGUGUAGUCCCAAGCGAGAGUACCCGAAGAAAAAGACAUACGGCUAAACUCCGUG